rnacentral:rRNA from 1 species
CCUACGGGUGGCAGCAGUAGGGAAUAUUGCACAAUGGACGAAACUCUGAUGCAGCAACGCCGCGUGAAUGAAGAAGGAUUUCGGAUUGUAAAGCUCUUUUGGUAGGGAAGAAAAUGACGGUAUGUAACUCAUCAUCACCGGCUAAUAACGUGCUAGCAGCCGCGGUAAGACGGCGGGCGCAAAGGUUAUUCGGAAUCAUUGUGCGUAAAGCGGGCGGAGGCGGGUGAGCAAGUCUGAUGUGAAAUCCUAUGGCUCAACCGCAGAAUUGCAUCUGAAACUGUUAUUCUAGAGUGGAGGAGAGGUAGGUGGAAUUCCUGGUGUAGCGGUGAAAUGCGUAGAGAUCAGGAGGAACACCAAUGGCGAAGGCGGCUUACUAGACUAUAACUGACGUUGAGGCGCGAAAGCGUGGGGAGCAAACAGGAUUAGAUACCCUGGUAGUC